UGACCUAUAGCUCAACGGGUUAGAGUGCCAGUCUUAUAAGCUGGAGGUUCCAGGUUCAAGUCCUGGUAGGUCAA
rnacentral:tRNA from 1 species